CUGUAAAAGGCUGAGCUCUCUCUGCGGCCAACCUAACCCGACAGCAACUAGCAGCAUUUUGACUGACAUACUCAGCAGACACAUACGGGAGAGGCAGGUUUGUGGAUCCCAGAAUGUGAAGGACUUAAAGUCUCCUUUUACCUCAGUGAGCUCUUCUUUCCAAGAAUACCAAGGUAUCAGCUGGGCAUCAGUCAUGAAGAUCCUUUACUGUCUCCUUGUGGCCACCCUCUUCCUAUUCCAAGCUGCUCCAGGCGAUCGUUAUCCUAGGCACCUCAUCACCUGUGCCUCCCUGGGUGGAUUUUGUAUGCUGCAGCCUUACCAGACCUGCCCAUCGGGUAUAAUCCUGGAUGCACCAUGUCAUCUCAAAGCAAGAUGCUGCUUGAAGAAGAAAUCUGCUUAACUUGGGCCUUCCCCCCCCCCAUCUCCUCUACCAGUUGUCCAUCAUUUUGUGAGCUGUAAAACUUAAGUGGAGCUGCAGAGGUUUCAGAGGGCAGAGCUUCUCUGUCCUCUCUACAAUAAAUACCUUGCAAUGGUCACCACUGAUUAGUCAUAGACCUGCUGUGGUUGGCCUAAUCUCUGUCUAGGAUUUAGUGUUAUUAACGGUAUAUUUGUUGAUCUCUGUUUGGUCACCCCCUCAAGUCAUAAACUGGUGAACAGUGUAUUCAACCUACUUUGAUGAUUGUUUAUAUUUAAAGGUUGGCUGUAAAAGAGUCUAAUAUUACUUAUUUUUAAACGUUG